rnacentral:rRNA from 1 species
CAUGUCCUUUUGAAAAUGAUUUAAGGUCUAAUCUGCUCAGUGAAAAUUAAAUAGCCGCAGUAUUUUAACUGUGCAAAGGUAGCAUAAUAAAUAGUUUUUUAAUUGAAAUCUGGAAUGAAUGAUUGGACGAGAAAAUAUCUGUCUCUUUAUAAUUGUUUUUGAAUUUAAUUUUUAAGUUAAAAAGCUUAAAUAUUUUUAAAAGACGAGAAGACCCUAUAGAGUUUUAUUUAUUAUAAUUAAUUUAGAAUUUAGUUUUAAAUAGUAAAUUUAGUUGGGGUGAUUAAAAGAUUUAAUAAACUCUUUUAUUUUUUUAUCAUUGAUUUAUGAAUUUUGAAUCUUUAUUUUAAAAUUUUAAAUUAAAUUACCUUAGGGAUAACAGCGUAAUUUUUUUUUAAAGUUCUUAUUAAAAGAAAAGUUUGCGACCUCGAUGUUGGAUUAAAAUUUAUUUUUGGUGUAGAAGCUAAAAUAUUAAGUCUGUUCGACUUUUAAAAUUUUACAUGAUCUGAGU